AGGAGCCCAGAGCCUGAAUCAGUGUGUGUGUUAGUGGAAGCGUCUGGAAAGGCGCGCGAUACAGGGUGACAGCCCCGUACACAAAAAUGCACAUGCUGUGAGCUCGAUGAGUAGGGCGGGACACGUGGUAUCCUGUCUGAAUAUGGGGGGACCAUCCUCCAAGGCUAAAUACUCCUGACUGACCGAUAGUGAACCAGUACCGUGAGGGAAAGGCGAAAAGAACCCCGGCGAGGGGAGUGAAAAAGAACCUGAAACCGUGUACGUACAAGCAGUGGGAGCACGCUUAGGCGUGUGACUGCGUACCUUUUGUAUAAUGGGUCAGCGACUUAUAUUCUGUAGCAAGGUUAACCGAAUAGGGGAGCCGAAGGGAAACCGAGUCUUAACUGGGCGUUAAGUUGCAGGGUAUAGACCCGAAACCCGGUGAUCUAGCCAUGGGCAGGUUGAAGGUUGGGUAACACUAACUGGAGGACCGAACCGACUAAUGUUGAAAAAUUAGCGGAUGACUUGUGGCUGGGGGUGAAAGGCCAAUCAAACCGGGAGAUAGCUGGUUCUCCCCGAAAGCUAUUUAGGUAGCGCCUCGUGAAUUCAUCUCCGGGGGUAGAGCACUGUUUCGGCAAGGGGGUCAUCCCGACUUACCAACCCGAUGCAAACUGCGAAUACCGGAGAAUGUUAUCACGGGAGACACACGGCGGGUGCUAACGUCCGUCGUGAAGAGGGAAACAACCCAGACCGCCAGCUAAGGUCCCAAAGUCAUGGUUAAGUGGGAAACGAUGUGGGAAGGCCCAGACAGCCAGGAUGUUGGCUUAGAAGCAGCCAUCAUUUAAAGAAAGCGUAAUAGCUCACUGGUCGAGUCGGCCUGCGCGGAAGAUGUAACGGGGCUAAACCAUG
rnacentral:rRNA from 1 species